rnacentral:rRNA from 1 species
ACCCGCUGAACUUAAGCAUAUCAAUAAGCGGAGGAAAAGAAACCAACAGGGAUUGCCCUAGUAACGGCGAGUGAAGCGGCAACAGCUCAAAUUUGAAAUCUGGCUCUUUUAGAGUCCGAGUUGUAAUUUGCAGAGGGCGCUUUGGCUUUGGCAGCGGUCCAAGUUCCUUGGAACAGGACGUCACAGAGGGUGAGAAUUCCGUACGUGGUCGCUGGCUAUUGCCGUGUAAAGCCCCUUCGACGAGUCGAGUUGUUUGGGAAUGCAGCUCUAAAUGGGAGGUACAUUUCUUCUAAAGCUAAAUAUUGGCCAGAGACCGAUAGCGCACAAGUAGAGUGAUCGAAAGAUGAAAAGCACUUUGGAAAGAGAGUCAAACAGCACGUGAAAUUGUUGAAAGGGAAGCGCUUGCAGCCAGACUUGCUUACAGUUGCUCAUCCGGGUUUUUACCCGGUGCACUCUUCUGUAGGCAGGCCAGCAUCAGUUUGGGCGGUAGGAUAAAGGUCUCUGUCACGUACCUCCUUUCGGGGAGGCCUUAUAGGGGAGACGACAUACUACCAGCCUGGACUGAGGUCCGCGCAUCUGCUAGGAUGCUGGCGUAAUGGCUGU